rnacentral:rRNA from 1 species
AUUGAACGCUGGCGGCAGGCUUAACACAUGCAAGUCGAGCGGAGUGAUGGUGCUCGCACUAUCACUUAGCGGCGGACGGGUGAGUAACGCUUAGGAAUCUGCCUAUUAGUGGUGGACAACAUCUCGAAAGGGAUGCUAAUACCGCAUGCGUCCUACGGGAGAAAGCAGGGGAUCACUUGUGACCUUGCGCUAAUAGAUGAGCCUAAGUCGGAUUAGCUAGUUGGUGGGGUAAAGGCCUACCAAGGCGACGAUCUGUAGCGGGUCUGAGAGGAUGAUCCGCCACACUGGAACUGAGACACGGCCCAGACUCCUACGGGAGGCAGCAGUGGGGAAUAUUGGACAAUGGGGGGAACCCUGAUCCAGCCAUGCCGCGUGUGUGAAGAAGGCCUUAUGGUUGUAAAGCACUUUAAGCGAGGAGGAGGCUCUUUUGGUUAAUACCCAAGAUGAGUGGACGUUACUCGCAGAAUAAGCACCGGCUAACUCUGUGCCAGCAGCCGCCGUAA